rnacentral:rRNA from 1 species
GACGAACGCUGGCGGCGCGCCUAACACAUGCAAGUCGAACGAGCAAAGAGGAGCUUGCUUCUCUGAGCGAGUGGCGAACGGGUGAGUAACGCGUGAGGAACCUGCCUCAAAGAGGGGGACAACAGUUGGAAACGACUGCUAAUACCGCAUAAGCCCACGGGUCGGCAUCGACCAGAGGGAAAAGGAGCAAUCCGCUUUGAGAUGGCCUCGCGUCCGAUUAGCUAGUUGGUGAGGUAAUGGCCCACCAAGGCGACGAUCGGUAGCCGGACUGAGAGGUUGAACGGCCACAUUGGGACUGAGACACGGCCCAGACUCCUACGGGAGGCAGCAGUGGGGAAUAUUGCACAAUGGGGGAAACCCUGAUGCAGCGACGCCGCGUGGAGGAAGAAGGUCUUCGGAUUGUAAACUCCUGUUGUUGAGGAAGAUAAUGACGGUACUCAACAAGGAAGUGACGGCUAACUACGUGCCAGCAGCCGCGGUAAAACGUAGGUCACAAGCGUUGUCCGGAAUUACUGGGUGUAAAGGGAGCGCAGGCGGGAAGACAAGUUGGAAGUGAAAUCCAUGGGCUCAACCCAUGAACUGCUUUCAAAACUGUUUUUCUUGAGUAGUGCAGAGGUAGGCGGAAUUCCCGGUGUAGCGGUGGAAUGCGUAGAUAUCGGGAGGAACACCAGUGGCGAAGGCGGCCUACUGGGCACCAACUGACGCUGAGGCUCGAAAGUGUGGGUAGCAAACAGGAUUAGAUACCCUGGUAGUCCACACCGUAAACGAUGAUUACUAGGUGUUGGAGGAUUGACCCCUUCAGUGCCGCAGUUAACACAAUAAGUAAUCCACCUGGGGAGUACGACCGCAAGGUUGAAACUCAAAGGAAUUGACGGGGGCCCGCACAAGCAGUGGAGUAUGUGGUUUAAUUCGACGCAACGCGAAGAACCUUACCAAGUCUUGACAUCCUGCGACGGACAUAGAAAUAUGUCUUUCCUUCGGGACGCAGAGACAGGUGGUGCAUGGUUGUCGUCAGCUCGUGUCGUGAGAUGUUGGGUUAAGUCCCGCAACGAGCGCAACCCUUAUGGUCAGUUACUACGCAAGAGGACUCUGGCCAGACUGCCGUUGACAAAACGGAGGAAGGUGGGGAUGACGUCAAAUCAUCGUGCCCUUUAUGACUUGGGCUACACACGUACUACAAUGGCGUUAAACAAAGAGAAGCAAGACCGCGAGGUGGAGCAAAACUCAGAAACAACGUCCCAGUUCGGACUGCAGGCUGCAACUCGCCUGCACGAAGUCGGAAUUGCUAGUAAUCGUGGAUCAGCAUGCCACGGUGAAUACGUUCCCGGGCCU